AUGACCGACAGCAAAAUGCCGGACUUUCAGGCAGGAUACGAGAAGGGCAUCACUGAACUUCUCAGUGCCCUUGCCGGCGCAAACUUAAUCUAUGAGGCGG
rfam:Ruegeria sp. ANG-S4 contig_1, whole genome shotgun sequence.